GGCUGUCCUCGACUGUCCUUCGUUGACUUUUUGUGGAAUACAUUUUGAAUAAUGCUCUUUCCGUCUGUAGGUCCUCCUAUAAAUAUAGCUUGUACUUUUAUGACUAACUCCAUGCGUAUGCAGACAAUAUUUCCCAGGAUAAUUUGCUCUUUCACAAAAAGACUAAAGCAUUGAUUGUUCCCAUGUACUAUCAUGGCAUAUAAAAUUUCCACCUUUUAGAAUAUUUGACCAAAUGUCC